UAUUAAAAAUUUCAUCCAUUUCUACUAUUAAAAUUUGAUGUGGUUAACUAGAAAACUAGGUAGUGGCAUGUGGCAUACUAUGUGUAUCUCAUGCUGACUUACAAGGAUCAAUUUUUACCAGUAUAAAUAGAUGAAAUUUUUAACA
rfam:Gossypium raimondii Chr13_contig_30, whole genome shotgun sequence.